rnacentral:lncRNA from 1 species
CAAUAGUCAUACAAAAAUCAUUAAAAGUCAUUGAUAAAAAUUCAGCUGCGUUAUCAAGUCGAAUUGACUUGAUUGGAUGAUCCGAGAACUGAGCCCGUACCUUGAUUAUUUGAGCAAGAAGUUUUAAGAAGGCAAAAUUUCGAGAAGAGGGAAGACAAACAUGAGACCAUCUAGUUGAAGCAUCUAUUAAAACCAUGAAAUAUCGAAAUGG